AUUUGUGCUUAAUGGCGUUUGCUUAUUAUAAUUUUUUCUUUAUCCCAACUCAUAUUUUUUUAGUUUUUUUUAUCUUUAAUAAUAAUAAUGAUGAUAAACAUGAGUUUGUUAAAAUUACACUUAAUUACAUAGAAUCUCAAAUAUAGUAUAUUGAUGGAUAUUAACAAAAAUUAAAGCUGAAAAUUUCAAGGAUCACAAUGCCUGCACUAAUUGUGCGAAAUUGGAAAUGUUACUACAAACUGCUACAAAUGCAUAAUUUUUUUCUGUUUGAGCCAAAUCUGCGAUCUGUUGAUCAAAUGAGACAAGUGAUCAUGAAAGUUAUUUUGAUGACCAAAAGGAAUCUAAUCCAUCUCACCAGAAGUGAUCUAUUAUGUAUUUGUCCAUUAUCAGCUGCUAUAAGUUCAUUGGAAAAUGAGUACAGAUUUUCCUUUUUUUCUCCAUCUCACAUAUAAAGAAAGUGAUAAUGGAGACAGUGUUGCAAGAUGGAGGGAAAAUUUCAAAUUUCAGAAUUUUUUGACUGUUUUUGGAUGGAGGGAAAAGGAAUUUUGGUGUUUUGGCUCUAUGAUUGUGGGAAUUUCUGAGCACCUUAAUUGUUUGGGUCAGUGGUGCUAAUAUUGUUUAGUUCAGUUGUAUGUCACAAGCAUGAAUUUUAUAAAACAUCUUGUAUUAGUAUUGCUAGAUGGUUAUUACAACUUUGAAAAACCACUCUCAAUUAAAUAACAUUAGAUAUUGAGUGUAUAAUGGGAAAAAUCAUUUAAAAGAAUAAAUUUUAAAUAAAAUUUAAAAUGAGUUGAAAAAAUAAAUUGUUAACUUGCUAAAACGAUAUUUGACUUUAGGAAAUCAUUUACAAGAUGGCAUCAGGUAUUAGGUGCCCUUAGUGACUAGGGUUGAGGUGUUCAGAAUUUUUCAGUAGAAAAAAAUUUCUGAAAAUUUUGGAUCAGCAUGUUGAGAAAAACUGAUUUAGAAUAUAAUUUCAUAUUACUCCUUAGAAAUAAUGAAGUAGCACUAAUUGAAAGAUGAUGACAAGUAGCAAGAAUUUUCCAAAAGGACUAUACUUUUAUUUGGUGCAUGAGUGGAAUUAUAACCAUUCAGUUUUUUAGUUUUAGUGAUGUUGCUUACAUUGAAGACAGCUGCUAGCCUAAGAGUGUGCUCAAAUUCACUUGUGCAUGCUAGAAUGUUUUCCAUUUCAGCCCAAUUUUCAAUGACAAGAUGUGACAGUCAUGAUCCAGCAUUGCUGUUGUCACAUAUUUCAAAUCUAAGAGCAAUUAAUUUAAAAAAAGAAUAUUAAAUUUCUUUUCAACUUCCC
rnacentral:lncRNA from 1 species